GAUGAACGCUGGCGGCGUGCUUAACACAUGCAAGUCGAACGGAAAGGCCCAAGCUUGCUUGGGUACUCGAGAGGCGAACGGGUGAGUAACACGUGGGUGAUCUGCCCUGCACUUCGGGAUAAGCCUGGGAAACUGGGUCUAAUACCGGAUAGGACCACUUCUUGGAUGUUGUGGUGGAAAGUUUUUUCGGUGUGGGAUGAGCUCGCGGCCUAUCAGCUUGUUGGUGGGGUAAUGGCCUACCAAGGCGUCGACGGGUAGCCGGCCUUAGAGGGUGUACGGCCACAUUGGGACUGAGAUACGGCCCAGACUCCUACGGGAGGCAGCAGUGGGGAAUAUUGCACAAUGGGCGCAAGCCUGAUGCAGCGACGCCGCGUGGGGGAUGACGGCCUUCGGGUUGUAAACUCCUUUCGCUAGGGACGAAGCGUUUUGUGACGGUACCUGGAGAAGAAGCACCGGCUAACUACGUG
rnacentral:rRNA from 1 species